UCCCCCAGGUCUUGGCCCGAUGCUGGACAAUUCAGUUCCUCCCCAUUUGUCUCUGGUGCCUUUCAAGCUGCUGCCCCAGCACUGGAGCUCAGGACUGAAUCUGACUGUCGGCAGAGGAUCCAAUAGAAGAUACCAGGACCGGCAAGAAGAUACGUGCCUAAGUCUGUAAAUGCAGAGUCUCCACCGCACCCCAUCCACCAACACCGACACUGCUGUGAGCACGAUACACUUCUAUGCAAAGCCACUGAAAUCUGCCAGUUGUUUCUUCUAGCAACUUCCCUCUCUGAUACAGCUGGGGAAACAGAGGCAGAGGAAGGAAUCAGUGGCCAGAGUGGAGGCACCAGGAGGCAAAACAAGAGCCAGCGCUGCACUUGGUCACAUGGCCCCACCUCUCCCCACUGGCCUGGCUUGCCCACUGUUUAGUUGGCCUCUAAAGUGUCCUUAUUACAGCAUCAAUUCUAGGACCAUAAUGGGGGUGGAAAGCUACCACUUGGCCUGAGAAGUUUAGUCUGAAUUCUGGGAAAGAGGCAGCCUGGCUCCUUAACCGUAAAUAGGUCAUUA